rnacentral:rRNA from 1 species
UGGGGAAUAUUGCACAAUGGGGGAAACCCUGAUGCAGCGACGCCGCGUGAAGGAAGAAGUAUUUCGGUAUGUAAACUUCUAUCAGCAGGGAAGAAGAUGACGGUACCUGACUAAGAAGCCCCGGCUAACUACGUGCCAGCAGCCGCGGUAAUACGUAGGGGGCAAGCGUUAUCCGGAUUUACUGGGUGUAAAGGGAGCGUAGACGGAGCAGCAAGUCUGAUGUGAAAGACCGGGGCUUAACCCCGGGCCUGCAUUGGAAACUGUUGAUCUUGAGUGCCGGAGGGGUAAGCGGAAUUCCUGGUGUAGCGGUGAAAUGCGUAGAUAUCAGGAGGAACACCGGUGGCGAAGGCGGCUUACUGGACGGCAACUGACGUUGAGGCUCGAAAGCGUGGGGAGCAAACAGGAUUAGAUACC